rnacentral:lncRNA from 1 species
AUAUUAAUAAAAAAAAUUUCAAAAACAAAAAUUAACGUCGUUUCAAGAAUGACCCAUGGGCCAAAGCAUAUGGCCCAACAUAGCCCUACUCGUUGGUCAUUUCCAUUUCAGAGUUAUAAUCUUUUUAUUUUUAUUUUUUCCCCGACACCUCGCGGCCAUAUGAAUUAUGAAACACUGCUUUAGAUAGGCUCACACAAACACAAUGAGACAGCGACAAUUGUGUAAGUUUGUGCGAGUCGUGAACACGAAGCAACAAGUUAAUUAUUAAUUGCUCGAAUGCUGGACAUAAUGCAUUGAAUCUUUAACAUCAAGGUCCUGUGCACCUGCACCUUCCUGUCAUUAUUUUCAAUCUUCAAAAUUAUAGCAUAGGGACUGAAGUGAAUGAAUAAGAAUCUAUUUUGUUUUGUUUUUUUUGUUUUAUUUCGCAAAAGCUUCUUUGUCUUGGGAAGUCAGUCUCACAUACCAAUCAAAUUCCAUUACUCAAUCGAGACGAACCAUUUUUAUUUAAAAUAUCAGUCAUAUAUUUUUAAAUGACAUAUGUAUUAAAUGUGUUAUAAUAUUUUUCACGUAUAUUACUCGUAUAC